GCUUCGGUGGUCUAGUUGGUUAGAGCGUCCGCCUCGGAUGCGGGAUGUUGUGGGUUCGAUCCUCAGCCGAAUUA